rnacentral:rRNA from 1 species
UACGAAUGGGGCAAGCGUUGUUCGGAAUCACUGGGCUUAAAGCGUGCGCAGGCGGUUAUGUAAGUCAGAAGUGAAAUCCCGGGGCUUAACCCCGGAAUUGCUUUUGAAACUGCAUGACUAGAAUAUGGGAGAGGUUAGCAGAAUUCCGAGUGUAGAGGUGAAAUUCGCAGAUAUUCGGAGGAAUACCAGUGGCGAAGGCGGCUAACUGGACCAUUAUUGACGCUCAGGCACGAAAGCGUGGGGAGCAACAGG